rnacentral:rRNA from 1 species
CCUACGGGUGGCAGCAGUGAGGAAUAUUGGUCAAUGGGCGGGAGCCUGACCCAGCCAAGUCGCGUGAGGGAAGACGGUCCUACGGAUUGUAAACCUCUUUUGCCGGGGAGCAACGGGGUCCUUGCGAGGGCUCGAUGAGAGUACCCGGAGAAAAAGCAUCGGCUAACUCCGUGCCAGCAGCCGCGGUAAUACGGAGGAUGCGAGCGUUAUCCGGAUUUAUUGGGUUUAAGGGGUGCGUAGGCGGGCUGUUCAGUCAGCGGGAAAAUGUAGGGGCUCAACCCCGGCCUGCCGUUGAAACUGGCGGCCUCGAGUGGGCGAGAGGUAUGCGGAAUGCGUGGUGUAGCGGUGAAAUGCAUAGAUAUCACGCAGAACACCGAUUGCGAAGGCAGCAUACCGGCGCCCGACUGACGCUGAGGCACGAAAGCGUGGGUAUCGAACAGGAUUAGAUACCCGGGUAGUC